rnacentral:rRNA from 1 species
CAACCUGCCCACCACUUGGGGAUAACCUUGCGAAAGUAAGACUAAUACCCAAUGAUAUCUCUAGAAGACAUCUGAAAGAGAUUAAAGAUUUAUCGGUGAUGGAUGGGGAUGCGUCUGAUUAGCUUGUUGGCGGGGUAACGGCCCACCAAGGCAACGAUCAGUAGGGGUUCUGAGAGGAAGGUCCCCCACAUUGGAACUGAGACACGGUCCAAACUCCUACGGGAGGCAGCAGUGAGGAAUAUUGGUCAAUGGGCGAGAGCCUGAACCAGCCAAGUAGCGUGCAGGAAGACGGCCCUAUGGGUUGUAAACUGCUUUUAUAAGGGAAUAAAGUGAGUCUCGUGAGACUUUUUGCAUGUACCUUAUGAAUAAGGACCGGCUAAUUCCGUGCCAGCAGCCGCGGUAAUACGGAAGGUCCGGGCGUUAUCCGGAUUUAUUGGGUUUAAAGGGAGCGUAGGCCGGAGAUUAAGCGUGUUGUGAAAUGUAGACGCUCAACGUCUGCACUGCAGCGCGAACUGGUUUCCUUGAGUACGCACAAAGUGGGCGGAAUUCGUGGUGUAGCGGUGAAAUGCUUAGAUAUCACGAAGAACUCCGAUUG